GCAAAGAUUAUAACCCAUCACAGCCAAAAUAACACUUCCAUGACCCCUCAACCAUUGUAGUGGAUUUUCUGGUUUUGGGAGCCUUGACCCUGCUGAGGCUGCUGUUGAGAUUGCAAGUUUAGUGGCUGUGUGUUGUAGUGAGUAAAGGGUUGCGAGUAGAGAGAGUUCAUCAAGCCCUGCAUUGAAAUUCACCAUGUUAAAAUACAUGACACAAAAAAAUAACUACCAAUUACCAAACUAAUGAGAAGAACAACUACUGAUCAAGCAAAAUC
rnacentral:misc_RNA from 1 species